CAUACGCAAGUAGUAAGACCCCUUAAAGACGAUAAGGUAGAUAGGGCAGAGGUGUAAGCAUGGUGACAUGUUCAGCUGACUGCUACUAAUCGGUCGAGGGUUUAACCAA
rnacentral:rRNA from 1 species